rnacentral:rRNA from 1 species
UACGAAGGGUGCAAGCGUUAAUCGGAAUUACUGGGCGUAAAGGGUGCGUAGGCGGUUGUUUAAGUCUGUCGUGAAAGCCCCGGGCUCAACCUGGGAAUUGCGAUGGAGACUGCAAGGCUUGAAUCUGGCAGAGGGGGGUAGAAUUCCACGUGUAGCAGUGAAAUGCGUAGAGAUGUGGAGGAACACCGAUGGCGAAGGCAGCCCCCUGGGUCAAGAUUGACGCUCAUGCACGAAAGCGUGGGGAGCAAACAGG